rnacentral:rRNA from 1 species
GAUGAACGCUGGCGGCGUGCCUAAUACGUGCAAGUCGAGCGAACAGACGAGGAGCUUGCUCCUCUGACGUUAGCGGCGGACGGGUGAGUAACACGUGGAUAACCUACCUAUAAGACUGGGAUAACUUCGGGAAACCGGAGCUAAUACCGGAUAAUAUAUUGAACCGCAUGGUUCAAUAGUGAAAGACGGUUUUGCUGUCACUUAUAGAUGGAUCCGCGCCGCAUUAGCUAGUUGGUAAGGUAACGGCUUACCAAGGCAACGAUGCGUAGCCGACCUGAGAGGGUGAUCGGCCACACUGGAACUGAGACACGGUCCAGACUCCUACGGGAGGCAGCAGUAGGGAAUCUUCCGCAAUGGGCGAAAGCCUGACGGAGCAACGCCGCGUGAGUGAUGAGGGUCUUCGGAUCGUAAAACUCUGUUAUUAGGGAAGAACAAAUGUGUAAGUAACUAUGCACGUCUUGACGGUACCUAAUCAGAAAGCCACGGCUAACUACGUG